rnacentral:misc_RNA from 1 species
UACGGAGGGUGCAAGCGUUAAUCGGAAUUACUGGGCGUAAAGCGCACGCAGGCGGUCUGUCAAGUCGGGUGUGAAAUCCCCGGGCUCAACCUGGGAACUGCAUCUGAAACUGGCGGGCUAGAGUCUUGGAGAGGGGGGUAGAAUUCCGGGUGUAGCGGUGAAAUGCGUAGAGAUCCGGAGGAAUACCAGUGGCGAAGGCGGCCCCCUGGACAAAGACUGACGCUCAGGUGCGAAAGCGUGGGGAGCAAACGGG